rnacentral:rRNA from 1 species
GACGAACGCUGGCGGCGUGCCUAAUACAUGCAAGUAGAACGCUGAAGAGAGGAGCUUGCUCUUCUUGGAUGAGUUGCGAACGGGUGAGUAACGCGUAGGUAACCUGCCUUGUAGCGGGGGAUAACUAUUGGAAACGAUAGCUAAUACCGCAUAACAAUGGAUGACACAUGUCAUUUAUUUGAAAGGGGCAAUUGCUCCACUACAAGAUGGACCUGCGUUGUAUUAGCUAGUAGGUGAGGUAAUGGCUCACCUAGGCGACGAUACAUAGCCGACCUGAGAGGGUGAUCGGCCACACUGGGACUGAGACACGGCCCAGACUCCUACGGGAGGCAGCAGUAGGGAAUCUUCGGCAAUGGGGGCAACCCUGACCGAGCAACGCCGCGUGAGUGAAGAAGGUUUUCGGAUCGUAAAGCUCUGUUGUAAGUCAAGAACGGGUGUGAGAGUGGAAAGUUCACACUGUGACGGUAGCUUACCAGAAAGGGACGGCUAACUACGUGCCAGCAGCCGCGGUAAUACGUAGGUCCCGAGCGUUGUCCGGAUUUAUUGGGCGUAAAGCGAGCGCAGGCGGUUUGAUAAGUCUGAAGUUAAAGGCUGUGGCUCAACCAUAGUUCGCUUUGGAAACUGUCAAACUUGAGUGCAGAAGGGGAGAGUGGAAUUCCAUGUGUAGCGGUGAAAUGCGUAGAUAUAUGGAGGAACACCGGUGGCGAAAGCGGCUCUCUGGUCUGUAACUGACGCUGAGGCUCGAAAGCGUGGGGAGCGAACAGGAUUAGAUACCCUGGUAGUCCACGCCGUAAACGAUGAGUGCUAGGUGUUGGAUCCUUUCCGGGAUUCAGUGCCGCAGCUAACGCAUUAAGCACUCCGCCUGGGGAGUACGACCGCAAGGUUGAAACUCAAAGGAAUUGACGGGGGCCCGCACAAGCGGUGGAGCAUGUGGUUUAAUUCGAAGCAACGCGAAGAACCUUACCAGGUCUUGACAUCCCGAUGCUAUUUCUAGAGAUAGAAAGUUACUUCGGUACAUCGGUGACAGGUGGUGCAUGGUUGUCGUCAGCUCGUGUCGUGAGAUGUUGGGUUAAGUCCCGCAACGAGCGCAACCCCUAUUGUUAGUUGCCAUCAUUCAGUUGGGCACUCUAGCGAGACUGCCGGUAAUAAACCGGAGGAAGGUGGGGAUGACGUCAAAUCAUCAUGCCCCUUAUGACCUGGGCUACACACGUGCUACAAUGGUUGGUACAACGAGUUGCGAGUCGGUGACGGCGAGCUAAUCUCUUAAAGCCAAUCUCAGUUCGGAUUGUAGGCUGCAACUCGCCUACAUGAAGUCGGAAUCGCUAGUAAUCGCGGAUCAGCACGCCGCGGUGAAUACGUUCCCGGGCCUUGUACACACCGCCCGUCACACCACGAGAGUUUGUAACACCCGAAGUCGGUGAGGUAACCUUUUGGAGCCAGCCGCCUAAGGUGGGACAGAUGAUUGGGGUGAAGUCGUA